rfam:Human gut metagenome DNA, contig sequence: F2-W_013587.
CUUUGGUAAUGACCGCAAGCGGUCAUUACAGUGAAAUUAGCCGUUGGCGAGUGAAAUCUGACUUUGUCAGGUGAAAUUGCCC